rnacentral:tRNA from 1 species
GAGACACUAGCUCAGUAGGUAGAGCACCUGACUUUUAAUCAGGUUGUCGGGGGUUCGAUUCCCCCGUGUCUCA